rnacentral:rRNA from 1 species
GACGAACGCUGGCGGCGUGCUUAACACAUGCAAGUCGAACGGAAAGGCCCUGCUUUUGUGGGGUGCUCGAGUGGCGAACGGGUGAGUAACACGUGAGUAACCUGCCCUUGACUUUGGGAUAACUUCAGGAAACUGGGGCUAAUACCGGAUAGGAGCUCCUGCUGCAUGGUGGGGGUGGGAAAGUUUCGGCGGUUGGGGAUGGACUCGCGGCUUAUCAGCUUGUUGGUGGGGUAGUGGCUUACCAAGGCUUUGACGGGUAGCCGGCCUGAGAGGGUGACCGGCCACAUUGGGACUGAGAUACCGCCCAGACUCCUACGGGAGGCAGCAGUGGGGAAUAUUGCACAAUGGGCGGAAGCCUGAUGCAGCAACGCCGCGUGCGGGAUGACGGCCUUCGGGUUGUAAACCGCUUUCGCCUGUGACGAAGCGUGAGUGACGGUAAUGGGUAAAGAAGCACCGGCUAACUACGUG